rnacentral:lncRNA from 1 species
AAUCCUUGCACAUUGGUUGGAGCAAAUGAAGAGAGCAAGCACGAUAGUAAUUGAAGGAACAUGACACAAGAGAUAGUCAUCCUCAAAGCCGCCAUAUUGUUAUUAGCUUCUCUUUUGGUCGAUGCUUGAUGCUACUAGUACUAAUUGACAUAAAGAUUGGUGUGAUGUUAUUUAUACUAGCCUACUUAAGUCACAAUUAAUAUCACGGAAGUUAAAAGUACUGUAUAGUUUAAGUUUAAAUACAAGUGGUCGUGGUUACAGCAUUGAG